AUUUAAGUAGCUUAUAAUAUAGAGCAUGACACUGAAGUUGUUAUGGAGGCAAUUUUUGCCCUUGAAUA
rnacentral:tRNA from 1 species